GGCCACCAGGAAACUCCCUGCAUUUAAUUCAUAUGACUUUUCCCUGUCCUUUUGGGUUUGUGGCCUUUUGAAAAAUGUUUUAUUGUGCUUAAUUUAUAUAUAAUGAAAUUCACCCAUUUUAAGCAUACAAUACAGUGAUUUUUUUUAGUAACUACUGGGUGUGUGCAACCAUUGCCAUGAAUAAGUUUUAGAAAAUUUUAUCCCCCCAUUAGGAUCCCUCAUAAUAUUUCCAGUUAAUCCCUGUUUCUAGCCCCAGACAACCAUUAACCUACUGUCAUUAUCACAUUGGCUUUUUUGAAUAUAUCAUAUAAAUAGAUUCAUAGAAUUUGAGGUCCCUUGUUUCUGACUUCUUUUUUUAUAUAUUUUUUGGCCGCACCUGUGGCAUGUUGAAGUUUCCAAGGCAGGGAUCAAACCCACACCAUAGCAGCAACCCAAGCCACUGCAGUGACAAUGCCAGAUCCUUCAGCUGCUACACCGCAGGACUCCUAAGCAUGAUUUUUUCUUUUUUUUUUUUUUGUCUUUUUGCCAUUUCUUGGGCCACUCCCGUGGCAUAUGGAGGUUCCCAGGCUAGAGGUCGAAUUGGAGCUAUAACCACCGGCCAGAGCCACAGCAACGUGGGAUCCGAGCCUGUCUUCGACCUACACCACAGCUCACAGCAAUGCCAGAUCCUUAACCCGCUGCGCAAGGCCAGGGAUCAAACCCGCAACUUCAUGGUUCCUAGUCGGAUUCGUUAACCCCCGAGCCACAUGGGAACUCCUAAGCAUUGUAUUUUUGAGGUUCAUCUGUAGCAUAGCGCAUGCCAGUAGUUCAGUAUCAUUUCCUCCUUCUGCUUACCUUUGGUUUAAGUGCUCUUCAUUUUCUAGAUUUUUCAGCUGAAUUUUAGAUGCUGAUUUGAGAUCUUUAUUCUUUUCUCAUAUCAGCAUUUAAACCUAUAUAUUUUCCUCUAAAGACCGUUUUCUCUGCAUCUCAUAGGUUAUGUUUAAUUUUCGUUCAGAUCAAAAUGUAAUUUCCCUUGAAAUUUCUUCCUUGAUCCAUGGAUUGUUUGGAAAUGUUUUGUUUAAUUUCUACAUAUUUGUGGAUUCCCUGGGUGUCCUACUACUGUUGCUUUCCAGUUUGUCUUCUUUGUGGUAGGAGAACAUACCUUGUAUGAUUUGGAUCCUUUUAAGUUCAUUAACUCUUUUUUUUUGUUUUCUAUUUAUAACAUGGAGUUCUUGGGCCAGGGAUCAGAUCCAAGCCACAGUUGCGACCUAAGCCACAGUGGCGUCAAUGCCAGAUCCUUAACCUACUGUGCCUGACCAGGAAUCAAACCUGCAUCCCAGCACUCCCAAGACACUGCCGAUCCUGGUGCGCUUUUGGGGUGGUCGAGUGUUCUGUAGGUUUCUGUGAGGUCUAGUUAGUUUGUAGUGUUGUUGCAGUCUUCUGUUUUGUUGUUGAUCUUCUCUCUACUUGUUUUAUCCAUGUGGAAUAUCAAAGUCUCUAAUUAUUAUUGUUGUGUUGUCUAGUUAUCCCUUCAAUUCUGUCAACUUUUGUUUAAUCUAUUUGGGGCUCGGUUGUUAAGUGCAUAUAUAUUUAUAAAUAUGUUACAUUUUCUUGAUGGAUCGAGCCUUUUAUCAUUAUAAAAUGUCCAUUUUUUUCUCUUAUAACAAUUUUUAUCUUAGAGUCUCUCCUGAUUUUAGUAUAGCUGCUCCAGCUCUCUCUCUUUCAGCUUCUAUUUGGGUUGCUCUUUCUCUAGAUUGUUUACCUUGAACUUUAGAUUAUUGAUUUGAGAGCUCUGUUCUUUUCUGACAUUGACAUCUUUCAUCCUCUUAUUUUCAAUUUAAUUUUGUCUUUGAAUCUAAAGUUUGUCUCUUGUACUGGGAAAAUAUUUUCUUAUCCAUUCUGUCAAUACCUGCUUUUUGAUUUUUCAUUCAGAUUAAUACUAAUAUAAUUUCAACAGAAUACAGAAACUCUGUUCCUGUAUAGCUCCAUUCUCUCCCCCUCCUUUGGGUCAUAUUGUCAUACAAAUUUCUUUUUUAUGUAAGUCCAUUAUCACUGUUUUAUAAUUAUUUCUCGAGGUAGUUUUGCUUGUGUUUUUUUUUUUAGGACUACACUCACAGCAUAUGGAGGUUCCCAGGCUAGGGGUCCAAUCAGAGCUGUAGCUGCCGGCCUACGCCAGAGCCACGGCAAUGCCAGAUCCGAGCUGCAUCUGCAACCUAGACCACAGCUCACGGCAACGCCUCAAGGUAGUUUUAAAUGAGAUAGGGUAAUAAAAGAAUUACCAAAAAGUGUAUUUAUACUGUCUUUUUUUUUUAAUGGCCACAGCCAUGGCAUAUGGAAGUUCCUGGGCCAGGGAGUGAUGUGAGCCAUAGCUAUGACCUACACCAUGGCUGCAGCAACACUGGAUCCUUUAACCCACUGCAAUGGGCUAGGGUUCAAACCCAUGUGCCUCGGCAGGGACCCGAGUUGAUGCAAUCAGAUUCUUAACCUACUGUGUCACAGCAGGAACUCCUACACUGUCUUUUGUAAUAACCUAUGUUAUUACCUUUACUGGAGCUCUGUACUUCAUAUGGAUUUGAGUAACUGCCUAGUAUACUUUAUCAUAUCAGCUUUAUUAUUUUUUUGUAGAGCAAGUACAUUAGCAGUACAUUUUCAGAUUUUGCUUAUCUUUAACUGUCUUAAUUUCUCCCUUAUUUCUGAAGGGUAAUUUUUUUUUUCAGGGCCACACCUGAGGUAUAUGGAAGUUCCCAGGCUAGGGGUCAAAUCGGAGCUGCAGCUCCCAGCCUAGGUCACAGCCGCAGCAACACCAGAUCUGAGCCAUGUCUGCAACCUACACCGAAACUCAUGGCAACACCAGAUCCUUAACCCAGUGAGCCGGGCCAGGGAUCAAACCUGUAACCUUAUAGAUGCUAAUUGGGUUCAUUACCACUGAGCUACAACAGCACCUCCCCUGAAAGAUAAUUUUCUUGGCUUUGGAAUUCUUGUUUAAUAGUGUUUUUUUUUUUGUUUUGUUUUGUUUUAGGGCCACACCCGUGGCAUACAGAGGUUCCCAAGCUAGGGGUCCAGUCAGAGCUGUUGCCGAUGGCCUACGCCACAGCAACAUGGGAUCUGAGCCACAUCUGCGACCUACACCACAGUUCACGGCAGCACCGGAUCCCUAACCCACUGAGCAAGGCCAGGGAUCCAGCCCGAAUCCUCAUGCAUGCUAGUAGGGUUCGUUAACCACCGAGCCAUGGCAGGAACUCCAAAAACUUCCCAAAUUUGAUGAAAAAUAAUCUGUAAGUCCACAAAGCUCAAGGAACUCCAAGUAGGAUGAAUUCAAAGAAACCCAUCACAGGGAAAAAACUUAAAAAGCCAAAGAUAACAAAAUUUUAAAAGUAAUGAAAGAAAAACAACUCAUCACAUGUAAGCAAUCCUCAAUAAGAUUAACAAGGGAGUUCCCAUCAUGGCUCAGCAGUAAGAAUCCAAGUAGUAUCCAUGAGGAUGCAGGUUCCAUCCCUGGCCUCACUCAGUGGGUUAAGGAUUAGGCAUUGCUGUGAGCUGUGGUAUAGGCAAGCAGCUACAGCUCCACUUUAACCCCUAGCCUGGGAACUUCCAUAUGCCCUAAAAAGACCAAAUAAUAAUAAUGAGUAACAGAUUAUCUCUCAUCUCAAAUGAUGGAGACCAGAAGGCAGUAGAAUGAUAUAUUCCAACUGCUAGAAGAAAAACUAUUGGAGUUCCCAUCAUGGCACAGUGGAAAUGAAUCCGACUAGGAACCAUGAGGUUGUGGGUUCAACAAAAAAGAGGGGGAAAAAAAUUGAGGAAAUUUUUGGUCAUCAUUUCUUCAAACAUUCUAGCACUCCUUUCUUUAUGUGUGUGCUGUGAAACCUGAUGGUAUCCCACAGAUCUCUGAGGCUCUGCCAAUUUUCUUCAUUCUUUUUUCCUUCUGUUCCUCAGACUGAACAAUCUCAAUUGUUAUCUGUCUUCAGGUUUGGCUUAUUCUUUGUUCUGCCAUCUCACAUCUGCUCUUAAGACCUUCUAGUUAAUUUUUUAGUUAGAUUAUUGUACUUCUUAAUUGCAGAGUUUUUUAAUUUGUAUCUUUUUAUUAAUUAUCUAUUUUUAUGACAUUUUCAUACUUUAAUUUUUUAGAUGUAAUUUCCUUUAGUUCUUUGAACUUAUGAUAGCUUAAAUUCUUUGUCCAGUAAGUCCAGUGUCUAGACUUGCUGUUUCUUUGAGUGUUUUGUGAUUUUUUGGUGAAAACUGCACAUUUUAGAUAAUACAAGGUGGUCUGAAAGUCAGAUUCUCCCUUCUACUUAGGGUUUGUUAUUGUUCCUUUUUGUAUUUGUAGUGACUUUCCUGGACUGAUUCUGUAAGUCUGUAGUCCCUGUAGUGUAUGGUCACUGAAGUCUCUCCUCAGCUUAGUAUAAUAUGACAGAGAUUUCCUUUAAAUCUAAGAGAUUUCCUUCGAUCUAAGAACCUUCUACUCCUGCCAAGAGGUUAUAUGAGUGUGUUGCGACGUGCCUUAAAUGCUCACAUGGUUUGGUGUACAUAUCUGCCUUAGCCUUUAGUGCUUGCUUGUGCAGAGCUUUACAAGGAACCAGAAGUCAGAAAAUAAGGCCUUCACUGUGCAAGUACACAGCCUUACACAUGUGUGUAGUCUUCUAGCUUCCCAAGAUUAUGUCAGAAUUUUUGAGAGCCCUCUGUGGACAUCUCUUUACCUAGAUGUUUCUUUUAAACUUUUGGCUAGGCUUUUGUUUACCUAGUGAUAUCACAGCCAUAAUAAGCCGUGAUGUUAAACAGUCGCAGGAGAUUAUUUCUGACAAACAGCCUAGGAAUAGGGCUUUUCUGUAGAGCAUACUACAUGACUAGUCAAAUAGCAACAAUACCCUGCUAAUGUGACUCUGUGUUCUGGGGUUAGGGCUUUUUGAGGUGCUCAGAAUUUAGUCUUCCCUCUUCAGUAGUGUGGCAUUGGUGCUUUUCACAGCUGUCAUGAUUACAGGGCUGCUUGGUUUUUUCUUAUUUGUUUUAUAGGAAAUUCCCAGGCCAGGAACUGAAUUGAGCCGCAGUGGUGACCUGUGCCACAGCUGCAGCAAUGCCAGAUCCUUUAACCCACUGCGCCAGGUCAGAGAUCGAACACGCACCUCAGCAGUGGCCUGAACCGCUGCAUUUGGACUCCUAAUACCACAUCGGGAACUCCCCAGGCUGCUAGUUUUUAAGACUAUUAUGGAAGUAGGGAAGAGGGUUGGGAGUAGAUCCAGUUAAAAUGCCAGAAAUCUUGCUGUUCUUACCAAGGCUCACUAGGUUUUCUUGAAUUAAUGCUCCUUAGAUUGUGAAGUAAAUGCUCCUUAGAUUGUUAAAGUAAGCCAUUGGUUACUUUACAAGGUUUCAAGUAAGUUGAUUGGGAAAAAUUUGUAGCUAUUUCCACUGCUUUUAUGGAGGUUGUCGCUUGGCCAUUCUUGAGAGUCUUCCUGGAUUAUACCUGAUAAAAAAAUGCUUUUCCUUGUCAUUUUUAUGAAAUCUCAGGAAAGAAAUGAAAGGAGAUAAAUGUGUUUAGUCUGCCAUCUUUACCCAGAAAUCUGCAGCUUUUUUUUUUUUUUUUUUUNGUUUGAAAACCACCGCUCUCUUUGAUGAAGUGGUUAGUUACACUUCACUUAGUAUUUUUACAGUUAUUUUAAUUGAUUUGGAAAAAUGAAAGUUUUGGGUUGGGACCAUAUCCAAUUUUACCAAGAAGUAAAUGAAGCUUAAGUUUCAGGCCCCUCACUUGUGCCUUUCAACAGCCUACGGGGACCAUAAUGAUAUAUUGAUAUGGUCAUAUGAUUUGUAAAAUUUGCCAAGAUUUGAUUUUUUGGUUUCCUAAAGAACUCCCUACCCAUACCAUCACCAAAUAAUUUAUUUUUUUAAUUCAGUGAGUUUUAUUAUAUUUAUAGUUGUACAACCAUCAUCACAACCUAAUUUUAGAACAUUUCUAUCCCAGUCCCCCAGUCCAUCCCUCUCCCACAACCUGUCCCUUUUGGUAACGCUAAGUUUUUCGAAGUCUGCAUCUCCAAAUAAUUUAAACUCAGACACCAUAAAACUUGGGCUUAUCCUAGAUAAGAUGUAUGUAUUCAUACUUUCAUUGAUACAUUAUCUAGAAAAGUGGUUCUCAAACUUUAAUAAGUCUGCAAAUCACCAAUAAUUCCUUCGAAAUUCAAGUAUGUGUCAGUGUUUCUGGGGUAGGCCUGUUACUGCACGUUUCUAACAAUCUCCCGUAUGUUGUUGAUUUUGCUGGUCCAUGGACCAUAUGUUGACUAGUAAGAAUCACUUCUCCUUUAAAGAGAGUUUUUUCUUUCCUUUAAAGAUGCUGGCUUGAAGGAGUGUAAUCCUUCUUUCCUGAACGUUAAAUGGCAGGACAGAGAAAGACAGGGACAGCUCAGAGGCAGUCAACAGAGAACCCCCCCAAACUUUUUUUCCCAGUAGUUUUCCUGAGAUCAGGCUCUCAAAAUUAAGUUCCCAUACAACCAUUUUGUUUUUCACUUUCAGUACAGUAGUCAGUAAAUUACAUGAGCUGUUCAACACUGUUAUAAAAUAAGCUUUGUGUUAGAUGAUUUUACCCAAUUGUAGGCUAAUGUAGGUAUUGUGGGCACAUUCGGGGUAGGCUAAGCUAAGCUGUGAUGUUCAGUAAGUUAGGUGUAUUAAGUGCAUUUUCAACUCUUAUGGUUUUAUUAGGACGUAACCCCAUCAUAGGCCAGGGAAGAUCUGUAAUGUCCUUUUUUUAGGUUCUUAACAUGGUUCAUCCACUGAUUGCAUUUGCUUUUAGAUUUGGAGUUUAAUAAAGAAAAACACUAAUAUGAUCUAUGGAUUCUUUAUCGUCAUUAAAGGAAACUUAUUUUACAGAAAUAUUUCCUCUUUUCUUUGUUUUCAGGUUGGCGCUGUAAACGGUACGGUCACCGAACUGGCGACAAAGAAUGCCCUUUUUUUAUCAAAGGCAACCAAAAGUUAGAACAGUUCAGAGUAGCACAUGAAGAUCCCAUGUAUGACAUCAUACGAGAGAAUAAAAGACAUGAAAAGGAUAUAAGG
rnacentral:lncRNA from 1 species